ensembl:lncRNA
AUCGUAUUUUUUAAUCAUACAUAAAGGAAUGCAUAGUUAAAUGUAUUACAUAGUUAAUUUUUUUAAGUAAAUACCGGUAUUAUAAGAGGUCUUACUUACUAUAUAGACAAUGAUUAAAGGAAGUGCAUAAAUUAAACUUUCGAUUGAUGUAGCAUGGGCCUUAUAGGGUCAAAUAUAUACUGUAGUAUUGCAUGGUACCGUGUGUACAAUAUACCCAAUUGAAUUUUUUAUUUUUCAUAAGAAUAGUUGUUUAGACACUAAAAGGUUGCGCUCUGAGGGCAGACCUCAAGUGAAAAGCGCGAGCGGUUCUACCAAAGCUAUGGUAAAUCGAUACCUGACGGGGGCAGGUAUCCCCGCGACAGAGUAGCGCCUGGAGGUGUAUUAUGCUUUUGCCGUGCUAGAAUGCGAAAGGAGGGUGUUUUGAUAUUAUUGUGUAAAGUAAUUAAGAAACCACCCCAAGAUGUAACCCUGCUUUUUAGUGCUUGCGUGUGUGUGUUGUUGACCUCAUAAAUGAGGUCAAAGGAGGGAUUGUAAGAGAAAAUCAAGUCUAGUGGGAGUUCAUCAACAAACAGUUCCUAGUCUAACAUACUAAAUCUAAGUUCUAAGAAAUGAGGCCUGGAGGCCUGCUAAGGGAGCUGUGUAACUUGACAGGGCCCCCUCCGGUCAGCCUAACUUACUAUCUUUUAGGUCAGAAAGGUCACCACGGGACACAGCCCUGAUAGUUGUAGCAGGAGGGGUGAGAGCCAAGGUCUUUCUCUGAGGCCCUAUUGUCAAAGAACUUAGUUAGUUACAGCUCCCCAGGAGAUCCACCACUAAGCAACAUUGUGGCAACUAAGGGUUAAAAGGAGGAUCUGUGUACCAUGAUGUCAGAAUGCAUUCUCCAGUCGUGGGUGACAGAGCUUUUUGUGAACUCACCUAAGACUGUACUUGUUCAUCUUUUAAAACUCAGUAAACUCAACUCAAACUUAUUGCUCUGUGUGGCGGUCCUUACUUUGAUUCUCUGCAACGAACACGUAGAUAAAAGUUUAAUCUAACA